GAGAAUCUCAGGAUUAAAAAAACAAACAACUUCCUCCCCCCCCCCCCCCCCCACUUCUUAAUGCUGCUAUGCAAACUGCCGUCAUUUUUGUUUUCCUUCCACAACAUCAAGGGGAGUUUAAUCUAUUGUAAACUGAUCCUGUCCUAUGGAAAGUUUUCCCUUAAAGUUAAUGGAAGAGACCACAGGAUUGGGUUCAUCUGUUUGCCCAAGGCCGUAAGUUGAAAGUGUAAGUCACAUAAAUUGCAAUUCAUACCUAGUAUAAAAGAACAUACUUGUUUCAAAGGGUUUUUCAGUAGGAUAGUUUUGAGGUUUGUCGUUGUUUUUGCCUUGUUUCAUGGCUAAGACACUACUGUAAGAAUGAUACAAUUGCAGAUGUGCGAACUUGUUCUUCCACACAUUUCAGGACCACAGCCCUAUCUUUUCAGUAUUAAGUGCCAGACACCAGUUUUAGGACCUUAGCACACCGUGGUGUCCUGGUUUUGACUGGGACAGAGUUAAUUUUCUUCCUAGUAGCUGCUGUAGUGCUGUGUUUUGUAUUUAGUAUGAGAAGAAUGUUGAUAAUUCAUUGAUGUUUUGUUUGUUGCUAAGCCUUGUUUAUACCAAGUCCAGGACAUUUCAGCAAGGAGGCUGGAGAGACACAAGAGGCUGGGACCGGGCAGAGCCAGGAUAGCUGAGCCUAACUGGCCAAAGGGAUUUUCCAUACUUUGUGACGCCAUGCUCAGCAUAUAAACUAGGGAAAAGUUAGCUGGGGGAUCACUGCCUGGGGACAGGCUGGGCAUCAGUUCAACAAGUGAUUAACAAUUGCAUUGUACAUCACGUGUUUUAUGUGUUCUAUUUUUUUUUUCUUUUUGUCUUAUUAAACUGUCUUCAUCUUAAUCCAUGAGGUUUACCUUUUUUUUUUUUCUCCCAAUUCUCUCCCCCAUUCCACUGCAGGUGUGGGAGAGGAACAAGUGAAUGACUGUGUGUGGUGUGCAGCUUCCUGCUGGGUUAAAUCACAACAGUUUAUGAGGUUUGGAGUGUUGAAUGAGGACUUGGUGCUGGUGCUGUGCUCAGGGAGUCGUUUUUGCAGCUCUCAGCGCACAAGCCCAGAGCCACUGGAGGAUUUUCCGUGGCCCUGCCAGGUUCAGGCAGCCGGGGCACCCAGGAGACAGCUCGCAGCAGCAGAGCACAUCAUCAGUUGAUGAAGCACCAGUGCGAGGGGGCAGCUCCACACCCCCAGCUCCCCCCAGCCCACCGCAGCAAAUGAACAGCAUGGCCAUGGAGCUGGAAGACAGCUGUCCCAUCUGCCUGGACAGCUGGGACGAUGUUGCCUAUGUGAUGCCAUGCCUCCACCAAUUCUGCUUCAUGUGCAUCCUGCAGUGGGCAGAGACUAAGCCUGAGUGCCCUCUCUGCAAGGGGAGGGUCCUCUCCAUCACACAUUCACUGUGGGGAGAUGAGGGCUUUGAUGAGCCUGUCAUCCCUCCACCUGCAGCAUCACCAGUCAUUGGCGACCAGGCAGAAGGAGCUCCUGGCCAUCCAGCUGAGCCCAGCCCAGCAGCAUCUCCAGCUUGUGGAGAUGGUGCCUGCUGCCUCCCAAGGAUGGUCUCCCACGCUUGGCCCAGCCCUCUCUAGCAGCCCUGAAGGAGACAACGUGGGUGACUGGCCCAGCACCUCAGCAGCUGUCCUGCUUGGGGGUCCCAGCAGCCCUCCCUCUGCCCUGCUUCCCAUCCCCUGGGAGUAGCAAGAGCCCCAGGAGGAGGCUGCACCAGGUCCAUCUUCUGCCAGCCGGGGCAGGGAACCCUCCCCGGGGGGAGCCACAGUGAGCCCCGCGGAGGAGGGCCGGCAGCCCUGAGGAGUCUUCUCCAGCCGCCAAGAGGCCACCCCACCAGCAGCACUAGAAUGGCCCAGACUCUGCCAAAACCAGGGCUGGGCCAGCAGCUGGGGCUUGUGCCGGCCAGCAAGGGCUCCCAGACCUCUAGGCAUGAUUGUCAGACAGUACAAGA